rnacentral:lncRNA from 1 species
CGGCGCUGCCCCGGCCCCGCCCGGUGCCGCCGAUUGGUGCGGAGCGGCCCGCGGGGCGGUGGCGCUGAUACAAAACGCGCCGCGAGCGCCUCUGCCCCGUCGGAGCAGGUCGGGGAGGUAAGUGCGGUGUGCUGCCGGGAUCCCGCUCCUCUCCGGUCGCGGGGAGCCUGUUCGUGGGGCGCUGCGGGCUAUGCGAUCUCUCGGCUAUGUGGUCUGUUGGCCGCCAGCCCGGGACGGCUCUCGAAGCUUUGCCCGGUGCGCGUCCGCAGCCCCUCACUGCCCAAUGCUUCCCUGCAGCCAUGUCGGACGAGCUGAGCGAUCUGCUGCGGGAGUUCGAUGAGGUCGUGGAGGACUUCGACAGAGGCCCCGCGAGUCAGUAUGAGCGGCACUUGGAGGAGCUGAAGAGGAAAGCGGGGCACAGUGUGUACGACAGCGGCAUCGAUGAGCUGGAGAGUACCAGCACGUCCCCAGCAAGCAGCUUGAACUCCAGUGAGGAAGAUCUUAACACCCACACUGGUCCUUACUCCUCUAAAGCUAAGCUUGGAGACACGCAGGAGCUGGAGGAGUUCAUUGCGGAUCUGGACAAAGUAUUAGAGGAGAUGUGAGAUGUGGUUUUGGUGGAAAGUUUGAAGAAGGAUCCACAACACCUAGUGCCUCCCUGAUGUACCCAAUGCUUCUGUGUCCCUGCCAUCCUGCAGCUGAGAGGGUAACGGCUCCUCUGUGCCAUCCCAGCCACAAACAUGGACUGAUCCUGCCUUGACAACUGCUUCUUGCUCCAGCAGCAGGAGAACUGGGAUGUAUUUCUGGUGCUGUGGGGUUGGGGACAGCUGCGCUUGUGCCAGUCUCAUGGCACUGGCAAGCUUAGGCCUGUAUGUUCAGCUCUGCAUGUUCAUGGCACCCUCAGCCAAGGAGAAGGAGGGGCUCCCCAGACCCUGGGGUGUGGGCAGGGCAGGCUGGCAUAAAGGCAGUGGGAGCCUGCAGAAGGUCCUCAACAUUAUUGUGGACACAGCCAUGGAGUGCUUUCAUCCUUGCCUUGGGCCUGCCACGAGAUCUGCUGGCUGGCAGCUGUGAAUGAUGACAUGGUCAGCUCUGCUUUAGUUGUUGGGCUUCAGUCUGCUUCCAUGUGCAGGACAGGACUCUGCUGGCACUAAGAUAUGAAACCCUCUUGGUGAGGGCAUCAGGCUAUGCCCUGAAAGAGGGGCUGGUGACUGCUGACCUAGUGGAUCUGGGGAGUUUAUCCUCUGGAUUCAACAGUGGUAUGAUGGUGACAUGGGUGAAGAUCAACUCGCAGUGCUUCACUGACACCUUGGUGUCCUCUCCUGGUUCAGGAAGCUUGUUCCUGCAGCAAUAUGUCAGGCAGUGGCAGCCAUUGCUGGCCUUUUGCUUCUCAUGGGUAUCUGCAAAUAAGGCCCCUGCCUGGACCUCAAGUGCCUCUACCCUGACUUCUGCUGUCAAUACUGUAACAAUGAUGAUGUACACUGUGCAGUUAAUAUAUUUUUAUGAAUGGUAUUUUAAGUCUCUGAGUUUGUCUCUGUGUUUAUGACCUGUUCCUGUGAGCUUAUUUUAUCUCUGGAGCUGCCUGCAAAGAGAUACUUCUCGCAGCCC